AUCAUAGAUGUUGGUGCGUAGACCUUUUAGAAACUCUCUAGCUUUACAACUUUCGGGGGUGAUUAUUACAGGGCUAACCUAAACAGUUGGACAAAACGAGUUGCAUACUAGGUAAUUGUCAGGUUUUUUUGGCGGAGAUCAUGAAAUUCCUCAUUAUUUUCUUGGACAUAGGCAGGGAAAAAGUUGUCAAAAAUGCAUCUAUGAAAAUCUCUCAGGUGAU
rnacentral:lncRNA from 1 species